GACGAGGCACUACGGUGCUGAAGCAACAAAUGCCCUGCUUCCAGGAAAAGCCUCUAAGCAUCAGGUAACAUCAAAUCGUACCCCAAACCGACACAGGUGGUCAGGUAGAGAAUACCAAGGCGCUUGAGAGAACUCGGGUGAAGGAACUAGGCAAAAUGGUGCCGUAACUUCGGGAGAAGGCACGCUGACACGUAGGUGAAGUGAUUUACUCAUGGAGCUGAAGUCAGUCGAAGAUACCAGCUGGCUGCAACUGUUUAUUAAAAACACAGCACUGUGCAAACACGAAAGUGGACGUAUACGGUGUGACGCCUGCCCGGUGCCGGAAGGUUAAUUGAUGGGGUCAGCGCAAGCGAAGCUCCUGAUCGAAGCCCCGGUAAACGGCGGCCGUAACUAUAACGGUCCUAAGGUAGCGAAAUUCCUUGUCGGGUAAGUUCCGACCUGCACGAAUGGCGUAAUGAUGGCCAGGCUGUCUCCACCCGAGACUCAGUGAAAUUGAACUCGCUGUGAAGAUGCAGUGUACCCGCGGCAAGACGGAAAGACCCCGUGAACCUUUACUAUAGCUUGACACUGAACAUUGAGCCUUGAUGUGUAGGAUAGGUGGGAGGCUUUGAAGUGUGGACGCCAGUCUGCAUGGAGCCGACCUUGAAAUACCACCCUUUAAUGUUUGAUGUUCUAACGUGGACCCGUUACCCGGGUUGCGGACAGUGUCUGGUGGGUAGUUUGACUGGGGCGGUCUCCUCCUAAAGAGUAACGGAGGAGCACGAAGGUUGGCUAAUCCUGGUCGGACAUCAGGAGGUUAGUGCAAUGGCAUAAGCCAGCUUGACUGCGAGCGUGACGGCGCGAGCAGGUGCGAAAGCAGGUCAUAGUGAUCCGGUGGUUCUGAAUGGAAGGGCCAUCGCUCAACGGAUAAAAGGUACUCCGGGGAUAACAGGCUGAUACCGCCCAAGAGUUCAUAUCGACGGCGGUGUUUGGCACCUCGAUGUCGGCUCAUCACAUCCUGGGGCUGAAGUAGGUCCCAAGGGUAUGGCUGUUCGCCAUUUAAAGUGGUACGCGAGCUGGGUUUAGAACGUCGUGAGACAGUUCGGUCCCUAUCUGCCGUGGGCGCUGGAGAACUGAGGGGGGCUGCUCCUAGUACGAGAGGACCGGAGUGGACGCAUCACUGGUGUUCGGGUUGUCAUGCCAAUGGCACUGCCCGGUAGCUAAAUGCGGAAGAGAUAAGUGCUGAAAGCAUCUAAGCACGAAACUUGCCCCGAGAUGAGUUCUCCCUGAGACUUAGAGUCUCCUGAAGGAACGUUGAAGACGACGACGUUGAUAGGCCGGGUGUGUAAGCGCAGCGAUGCGUUGAGCUAACCGGUACUAAUGAACCGUGAGGCUUAACCUUACA
rnacentral:rRNA from 2 species